rnacentral:rRNA from 1 species
AUUGAACGCUGGCGGCAGGCCUAACACAUGCAAGUCGAGCGAGCGGCGGACGGGUGAGUAAUGUCUGGGAAACUGCCUGAUGGAGGGGGAUAACUACUGGAAACGGUAGCUAAUACCGCAUACCAUCAGAUGUGCCCAGAUGGGAUUAGCUAGUAGGUGGGGUAACGGCUCACCUAGGCGACGACCCAUAGCUGGUCUGCGAGGAUGACCAGCCACCCUGGAGCUGAUACACGGUCAAGACUCCUGCUGGAGGAAGCAGUGGGAAGUAUUGCACAAUAAGCGCAGGCCUAAUGCCGCCAUGCCGCGUGUGUGAAGAAGGACUUCGGGUUGUAAAGCACUGUCAACGAGGAGGCGUUACCCGAAGAAGAAGCACCGGCUAACUCCGUGCCAGCCGCCGCGGUAAUAC